GGGUGUGGUACCAGAUCAGUCCAAAACUUGCCUCCAAGCAUCCAAUAGGAGCACCGCACUACUUGUGGGUGAUGCUGUAUCCUAUUUGGAUAAUCGCCAGGAUACAGAGAAAUUCUGCUAUAUAAACCCAUGUCAGGAGCUGGAAAGUCAGAUCUCCGGCAAGUUCUGAAGAUACCCAGUUCUCCAGCCAGUUCUACCAGCCAUAGCUAUGCAGCUCAAUAAUCUGGACUCUGCUAAGAAGGUUCCAACUCUGCAGUAAGUAUCUCUCUCUCUAGAUCAGCUUUUGUAUAAGAAGUGUUAUUAAUGUUCAAAUGUUCAAUGGUUAAAGAGUUAAUAGUAACUAUUAUGCAAGGUGUAUUAGAGACUAAUAAAAGUUAUUUGUGAAUUGUAUUGCUGGUCUGAGACUCAUAUUCUUUACUCUAACUGUAAACUCCUGGAGUUAGCGACUUGUGGCUCCACUCGUCCCGACAAAAUCCUCCAACAAAUAAAUUUGGUGUACAGGUUGGUUUUAAUUGAAACUCCAACAAUUAAGCUCACCUGAGCGCUAACCUGUUACAAGAGCAAAGGAAAAUUUCAAUGAAGUCACUUGUUAAUUUAUGAUGUAACGCUAAGCCUUUAAUUAACCACUUUCAUAAUCGAAUGUGGUCAGUCCGUUGGAUGGAUCUCGUACUUGAGAAUGAAUGUUGAAUGUAAAUAUAAGUUUAUUCCAUGUAUCUACAUGAAAUAUGGCAAACUUUUAGUAAAAUGUACAAGUUUGUUGUACACAAAAAAUCAGAUGUAUUACAGAAGGUAUGUCUGUGAAUUGACAACUCAGAUUCUGUCAAGUCGUAGUGCUAGGUGUUUUUCAUACCGAUGUACAUAUUACACUUUGUAUAUUGUACUUUCAUAGUCUCCAGAACUUCCAAAAUGCAUAUCCACAAUUUUUUUCUGCAUCCCUGUGCACUGUAUCUGGUAUUUACUCUCCUCUACCAUGAACUGUUGCUGAAGCAGCAAUGUAGGGUAAAAUGAACUGUCUAUAACUAUGAUUAAAUACAUAAUACUAUGUUGAAUGGCCUUUUGUUAAAUGUCAUGUCAUAUAUGCUUUAACCCCACCUGUGCACGUAGGGUUAAUGAAACAUUAAUGUGGCUAUGUAACUGAUUUUAAUAGCUGAAACUACUCAACUGCUGGUCAUGCAAGUCAGGCUUAAUUGUGGGAGAAAUACAAAUGACAAAUGACUAAAGUCAGGAGGGAUGUUACAACAUUACUUUUUUUAGGAUCACCUUUUUGAUGAACAUUGUAAAUGUUAGAAGAAUGGCUUUUAAUCAUAUUAAGAUUUAUCUUCAACAAUGAUAUUAAUAAUGAAUUAAUCUAGUUAGCAAUAAUUUGGUGUUGUUAAAAAGUGAACAACUUACAAAAAUAUAGUGUAGUAAUUUGUCUGCUAUUCUGGAUCUUCUGUAGGCCUACAAAGAAUAUGUUGUAAGAGAAGAUGAUACCUUUUCUUUGCCUGGCGUUGGAAAUUAUGACAAGUUGUUUUUCAUUGCGUAUGCUCAGUCAAUGUGUGAGAUUUUGAGAAAAGAGAAGGUAGAAGCCCAACAAAAAUCUUUGAAAAGUGCACCCAAUAUGAUAAGAGUAGUGUCUACAUUACAGCAACUUUCAGACUUUUCUGACACAUUUGACUGUCCUGUGGGAUCCAUGAUGAACCCAGUUGAGAAAUGUCAUGUGUGGUAGUUGUCAAAAUCAGAUGCUUUUCAGAGUUCCACUUUCCUGUCACGAAUGGCAAUAAAAACAAACUAUUUAAGUAUAAGUUUGAAGAAAUGAGUAUGUUAGUGGAUUGGUUUCUAAAAACAGAAAUUAGUGACAUUUAUGCAGGAUGUCAAUCAAAAUUUAAAGGUUGGUGGGGGGGUAGCUAAUUUCAGAAAUUAUGUUAUGGUACAUAUAGAAAUAAUUUCUAUUUAUGGAAUAUUGUUAUUUCUAUUUUUCUAGAACUUUUAAGUGAAUUCUAGGCAGUUCUUUAUUUUUCAAUAACCCAUUUCAACUCCUGAGCCUAAUACCAGUCACAAAUACACCCACAUUAGUAGGGGUAAAGCCCCCUGGAAGUUUGACCAUACGAUUAUUAUUGUAUGUUUAAAAAUGAGUAUUUUUGGACAAAUCUAUUAACAGGGAUGUUGCAUCCUCUACAAGAGCAGUAACUGUUAUAGAUAAAAGUAAUACUCUGUAAAACUGAUGUACGUCAGCGAGUUGUGCUGAUAGUAUUACCACUAAUGUAUCAUUAGUUGUUUCUAUGUUCAGUAAAGUUUCACCUUGGUUCA